AUGAGUGGGCUUUCUGAAGAACUGCCUCUGGAAGUUCCCUCAGGAAGGCAGAUCCUGAAGCAUGGUGCCUUCGAGGUUGGAAAAUAUAUUUUGAAAGGAGUAUUUUUGCUGCAUCCACCAGAAAUUUCGUCCUGUUCGGAGAUGGAAGGCGAGUCCGCCCCUAAAGGUGUCACUGCUUGCAGAACAGCGGCCCCUGGUGGGCUCCACGUGAAGUUCUCUGGCCCAACUGCACGCAUGCAUUUGGCAGUCACUCUCUGCCAGAGGAAAUAAAGUCCAAGGAUGAAGGCCUGAGAAGAAGGAGAAGAUGGACAUCCCAGCUCAAGAAGAGACAGAAGAAAUUCACUCUUCUUCUGCCUUUCUGUUGUAUUUGGGCCCUCAAUGGAUUGCAUGAUGUCCACCCACAUUGGUGAGGGUGGAUCUUCUUUCCUUGGUUUACUAAGUAACGCUAAUUUCUUUCAGAAACAUGCUCCAACGUAUCCAGAAAUAAUGUUUUACUAGCUCUCUUGGCAUUUCUUAGUCCAGUCAAGUUGACACAUAAAAUAAACCAUCACAACAUUGUAUUCUAACUCUAGCC
rnacentral:lncRNA from 12 species